rnacentral:rRNA from 1 species
CAGUAGCCACGGUAAUACGUAGGGUCCGAGCGUUGUCCGGAAUUAUUGGGCGUAAAGGGCUCAUAGGCGGUUUGUUGCGUCGGGAGUGAAAACCAGGUGCUUAACACCUGGCCUGCUUUCGAUACGGGCAGACUAGAGGCAUUCAGGGGAGAACGGAAUUCCUGGUGUAGCGGUGAAAUGCGCAGAUAUCAGGAGGAACACCGGUGGCGAAGGCGGUUCUCUGGGAAUGUUCUGACGCUGAGGAGCGAAAGUGUGGGGAGCGAACAGGAUUAGAGACCCCGGUAGUCCCUGUCUCUUAUAC